UACGUAGGGCGCAAGCGUUGUCCGGAAUUAUUGGGCGUAAAGAGCUCGUAGGCGGCCUGUUGCGUCCGCUGUGAAAUCCCGGGGCUCAACCCCGGGCCUGCAGUGGAUACGGGCUGGCUAGAGGCAGGCAGGGGAGAACGGAAUUCCUGGUGUAGCGGUGAAAUGCGCAGAUAUCAGGAGGAACACCGGUGGCGAAGGCGGGUCUCUGGGCCGAAAUUGACGCUGAGGAGCGAAAGCGUGGGGAGCAAACAGG
rnacentral:rRNA from 1 species